rnacentral:rRNA from 1 species
GACGAACGCUGGCGGCGUGCUUAACACAUGCAAGUCGAACGGAAAGGCCCUGCUCUUGUGGGGUGCUCGAGUGGCGAACGGGUGAGUAACACGUGAGUAACCUGCCCUUGACUUUGGGAUAACUUCAGGAAACUCGGGCUAAUAUCGGAUAGGAGCUCCUGCUGCAUGGUGGGGGUUGGAAAGUUUCGGCGGUUGGGGAUGGACUCGCGGCUUAUGAGCUUGUUGGGGAGGUAGUGGCGUACCAAGGCUUUGACGGGUAGCCGGCCUGGGAGGCGGACCGGCCACAUUGGGACUACGAUAGGGACCAGAAUCCUACGGGAGGCAGAAGUGGGGAGUAUUACACAGUGGGCGGAAGCCUGAUGCGGCGACGCCGGGAGCGGGAUGACGGCCUUCGGGUUAUGAACCGCUUUCGACUGUGACGAAGCGUGAGUGACGGUAAUGGGUAAGGAAGCACCGGCUAACUACGUG